rnacentral:siRNA from 1 species
CAGCAGUGAAUUGCUAGUCUCGCU